ensembl:processed_transcript
GAGGACCUUUUCACAGACCUGUACUGAUAUCUCUGUGAGGAUAAAUAACUCUGAGGAGGAUGGCCCUACCCCUACAGCCUUCUCACCCUGUAGAGAUCUCUUGGUGUAGAAAUAACACAUGCUAACUUAUCUCUACAGGUUUGAGGUGCUACUUACAAACAAAAGGAUGGGAAUAUGCUCUUUUCUCAGAAUAUGGUUCAUCUCAAGGCCAUUUACACUUUGGAGCCAGGCCUGUUCAGUUUUACAAAUAGCACAGGUUACUGUGACAACAUGAAGAGUUGAAGGUACCUCCCAGGAUGAUUGCAGAUUUUCCCGGUGGUGAGUCUCCGGCAUUCAAAGGUUCUGUUAGUGCCAUACUUGUUGGUUUACAGAGAUGGUGUGUCUGGCUGAGACCAAAGGAGCCAUGCCAGGAAAGUUAAAGCGUAUCUUCAUUUUUAAGUCCAGGCUAAAGUAAGGUCUGAGGAAAAGAAUGAGCUGCAUGAGAAAGAUAGGAACAGAUCAUCAAAUCUGAUUGUCCGGGCCAGUGUUGCAUCAUAACAGGCCACUUUAAAAUGAAGUGAAAUUGACAAUUGUGAAUUUAACCUUCCUUGAUUACUACAUUGUUAACUCUAGGAACUAGUAUCUGGUCCUUACUACAUUGUUAACUUGUAGACCUGUGUUUAUGUCUAGCAAUAAAUGCUCUUUAUGCUA